UGGGGAAUUUUGGACAAUGGGCGCAAGCCUGAUCCAGCAAUGCCGCGUGCAGGAUGAAGGCCUUCGGGUUGUAAACUGCUUUUGUACGGAGCGAAAAGGUCUGCCCUAAUACGGUGGGCUCAUGACGGUACCGUAAGAAUAAGCACCGGCUAACUACGUGCCAGCAGCCGCGGUGAUACGUAGGGUGCGAGCGUUAAUCGGAAUUACUGGGCGUAAAGCGUGCGCAGGCGGUUAUAUAAGACAGAGGUGAAAUCCCCGGGCUCAACCUGGGAACUGCCUUUGUGACUGCAUAGCUAGAGUACGGUAGAGGGGGAUGGAAUUCCGCGUGUAGCAGUGAAAUGCGUAGAUAUGCGGAGGAACACCGAUGGCGAAGGCAAUCCCCUGGACCUGUACUGACGCUCAUGCACGAAAGCGUGGGGAGCAAACA
rnacentral:rRNA from 1 species